UACGUAGGAGGCAAGCGUUGUCCGGAAUUACUGGGCGUAAAGCGCGUGUAGGUGGUGGGACAAGUCUGCUGUGAAAGCGCCUGGCUUAACCGGGCGAGGUCGGCGGAAACUGUUCGACUCGAGGACGGUAGAGGGGGUGGAAUUCCCGGUGUAGUGGUGAAAUGCGCAGAUAUCAGGAGGAACACCGAUGGCGAAGGCAGGUCUCUGGGCCACUACUGACGCUGAGAAGCGAAAGCAUGGGGAGCGAACAGG
rnacentral:rRNA from 1 species